rnacentral:rRNA from 1 species
UACGCCCUAUAACAACUUACCGUGUAAACAAUAGAUAUGGCAGUGAGUAAAAACUGAAAUAAACGAGGGAUAUAGAUAUGAAAGAGUUAUACCCGCCCGCGUCGUUGCGCGCAGAAGUGGAGUGUCUCGAGGGGGCUAACAAAGCAAGCACCAGCAGGCUAGAAUCAUUUUCAGGGUGGAAUGGAGUGGAGUCGGUAACCUAUAAGUGACGUCCAAAGUGGAACAAUAAGAAAAGUGCACACAUACUGACCACCCGGCCAAACAAGCAACCAAAUGAGACACAACCGACCCAUACUACCGCCUUCCCACGCUAACCGGCAAGGAGCGGCUCUCGGGUAACCCGUGUUCGUGUCCUUGGGAUCGGGGUUGGGUGUCGGCGGUGUAAAGGAGUGAAGGAGUAGGUGGGGCCGUGGGGUAGCGAGGGGGAUAGCAGUGGUGCCGGAGGCGGGAUACUAGAGGCGACGGAGUGCGCGCCAGUAGGAGAGUAGAGAGCACGGUGGUGGCGGCUGGGGACGGUUCGGCAACGCCGCGAGAAGGGUUCGGGAGCGGAGGGCAGAGUGGUUCGGGAACUACGGCCGGGGCAGUCGUACGGUUCCACUACGUCGCUGCCGGCGCGAGCUGUGACAGGAAGUAGCCACCCCCAGGUCGCGGACGCCCUCAUUCGUCUUCUCUAACCACCUCGCCGCCUACGCCCGCCCGUCCCAGUCGCCAACCCCUUUCGAGCAGCCGACCUCGUGAUCCUUGCUUCCUAGAGUUCCACCAAGUCCUAAAGGAGAGAAGAUAUGCGUCCCACGACAUUGUGGGGUCCUUCUCUCCCUCUCCCUCUCCUAGGUCUAGCGCGACCCCCUCCUCUCCAACCGAACCUCUCCUUCCUCCUCCUCUACCUAACGUCUCCCUUCUAAUUCUAAGUCUCAUGUUACGUGCGUAUGAGUGUGGGCCGGUGUCCGCCGGUUAAAUUGGGGUGUGUGCGUGCGGUGAACAGACCGGUCGACCGACCCGGGUGGUCGGUCGAGAAUCCGCGUGAUUGGUGACCAAUCCACACUGUCCACGUGUCCAGUCCUCCGGUUUCGAUAAACUGUACUAUUAUGGUAAGUCCGUCCUACCUCCACCACGUGUAUCUGCUCCUGUCGUCGCUGUCCGUUUCUCCAAUAUGUCGUCCCAAGUGCCACGUAAGCAACCUCGUAAAACAGUUUACUGAAGAGUACGUCGAGGAUCGAAAAGUCUUAAGCGGGUUACAUACACGAACCCGAAACAAAACUAACUACCUGGAAUUUCGACUUCGUAAUUACGUACUUGAACGGUUUACCUACCUCGUUGUCCGUAUCUUCUUUAGGUGUUGGUUAAAAAGAACCGACGCGGUAGAAGGCGACUGUCAUUGAGAUGUGUUGUCGGACGAUUCCAUCCAUUCUCACUACUAUUACAAUGAAUUUCCUCCGGUGUUGAACGUGGUUUAUAUACCCGUACACGUUGCCGUUGAAUACAUCUAGCAAAGAUCCACUACGACUACUUAGUACAUUCCUACCGCGUAUUGAGUGGUCUCCCUUUUCUAGCUUGAUGCCAUUGGUUUAGUUUGUCUUCUCUUCCAGGUCAACAGCAACGGAAGUGAACGAAACAGCAAAUGGCUAGACAAUCCAACGGCCAAGGGGCUGAACGAUAGUUCCUCUCCCCUCUCUUUAUACCUAACCCUAAGAUCCAUUUGAAAUGAAUUAAACAACGUCUUUUACGAGCCAUCUACAGUAAAUACCUACUCCAACACCGUCAUCAAGAGCCCACAACAGAGAUAGAACUAUUUCGGAAGAUAGUCCCGCGUAAUCUCCGACUUCUUAUCUUUUGUAAACCCCAAAGACACCGUAACUUGUAAGUUGCAAAUACAUGAUACAUGUACGUGCCGGUACGUGCUGGUCAAGUCAUUGAUCUACCGGAAAAGAUGACAUGGCCAAGACGAUGAAAAGUGUACAAUUGAAGAAACUUUUCGCGGUUGUCACACAGGGUGUACAUUUAUCAGGGUACAAUGUUUCUUGUAUUGGUCUUCACACCCCUACUACAUAAUUACCAGCCAGUCCCUUAAGUCAGAGCUACUCGAAUUGAUUACUGUAUACACUCAACUCGUACUCCAGUAAAACUUUCAUUGUCUUCAUAAAAUGAAAGGAAAAGUACACCCACCAGCUGCCUUGUAUAUACAAAAUAAUCUAAUAGUCUCCUGUUGUAUAUUUUCAAUAUUUGUUAGUUUCGUCUCAUCCCGUAAAACCUCUGGUUCGAGGUACCUCGGGAAAUAAAACUUAUUAAGUUUGAAGUAUUAAAAUCAAAGUUUUUAAGACUUUUUUUAUGUGUACAUAAGCGCCUACAUUUCACAUACACACUUUUUUAAGUCCUACUUUAUGGAACUUAACGCUCGACAUCUUUUUUUGGUUUUAACACCUGAACUACUCUCAUGCAUUCGAUUUUCCGAGGUCUAAACAGAAAAAACGAGUGUAAGAUAACAUAAUGCUGGACUUUUGAACG